CUCUGUAUUAGUUUCUGUAGGCCUUUCUCUAGGUGUGGACUCCUGUAACUCAAAUUGCAGACAGAAAGAAUAGGUACACAAGUAGGCUAUAUACAAAUUAGUGUAAAGUUUUUUAUGCACUUACAGGUUCUUCCUCCAAAGGACAGUCUUCUGAGAGAGUUUCUUCACUGUCCUGUGCAAUGGAAAUAAAUGGGUAUUACAGAGUGUUGCACUUUCUUCCCUUUAUGCAGGUUAGGAAAAGUACACAACUUACUGCAUAUGCUUCAGCCACCACUUGCAUGGGAACAGGUCCCUGUCUUUGGGUCUGAGGAAGAGCUGCCCCCAGGGAUGCCCUCCACAAUGCCCUCUCUCCUGGCUUUUGCAGACUUUGAAGUGUUCCCUCCAUCCAUCCAUCCAUCAUCUUCCGCUUUAUCCGGGGCCGGGUCACGGGGGCAGCAGUCUAAGCAGGGAUGCCCAGACUUCCCUCUCCCCAGACACUUCCUCCAGCUCUUCCGGGGGGACACCGCGGCGUUCCCAGGCCAGCCGGGAGACAUAGUCCCUCCAGCGUGUCCUAGGUCUUCCCCGGGGUCUCCUCCCGGUGGGACGGGACCGGAAUACCUUCCCAGGAAGGCGUUCCGGAGGCAUCUGAAACAGAUGCCCAAGCCACCUCAGCUGACCCCUCUCGAUGUGGAGGAGAGGUGUUCCCUGUCGUUUUAAUUAACGACUCAAAUUCGGCAUAACCUUCCAUUACAAGCUCUUGUUCUGCUUGGGAGAAUAAUUGGGCACGUUCUUUGGCCAUGCUGAACAGCCAAUAGCAGCGUUGCUGAUCAAUGUUUC
ensembl:lncRNA